AUGCACCGGGCUGAAAAGGCGGAGGCGGCUCUUCAAGAAGUGACAGCUGAGCUGACCGGUUUAAAACACCGUGUAUCCCAGAUGGUUUCUGCUAUCUUUGGUCCAAGGAGCAGCAAUCUUAGUCAAGACAUGCUGGUGAAACUUAAAGCCGUAUAUACGCUUGUUGAACAGCUAUAUACCGAAACUCAGCGCACGCUAGCCACGAUGUCUCCAUCAAAUCAAGGACCCAAUCUGCUGAGUGACGUCUUGAAGAAAUUGUCAAUUCUGCCUGCGAGGAUUCAAGAGAUAAAACGGUCUUGUGCAAGAGCCGGUGCAAUGACGGCCUUGAGCCGUGCUAAGGCAUGGCUACCAGAACUAGACCCAGCUGAGAUAGCCACUGGGUACCCAAGCUUGAAAGAGGAUGGCACUUCUUUUGACUAG
rnacentral:rRNA from 1 species